AUCGCUUCUCGGCCUUUUGGCUAAGAUCAAGUGUAGUAUCAAGUCUCUUUCAUACCGUGUCUUGCUCUUAAUUGAAAUUUCAAAUGCAGUUUGUACAUUUUCUCUGAACUUUU
rnacentral:snRNA from 1 species